GGUAAAUAGAGAGGUGGAAAGUGGCCAGAUGAAUACUUUCCUGAAAAAGAACACGGCGAUUGGCGUUCUUUUCGCGUGUCAGGGAAUCAUCGUCAUCAGUAUCGAGCUCUGAACUGACAGUGCGUGAAAGGGAAGCACCACGAUUACAGGUGUCAUCGCGUACGUGCGCGAAGCUAUUCAGGUUGAUAACAUGAACGAGACUAGUAUGGGGAUUCAAGAGAAGAGGAUUAGCAACAGUUCAUCUACGAACAGCACCAAAAAUAACGAAGACCCUGCUCAGAAUGUUUCCACAUUUAUUGCCACAUCGGGCAAGUUAAUCCAAAGAGACGAUGGUUUCCUUCCUCUACUCACACCUGCUUCACCUCAGGAUGAACAUGCAGUCUGGCCAAAAACGAAUAUGACCUUCGAAGAUAGCCCCGAAAGUGGCACUUCGCUGCACGGAGUUUCCUUCGAAGGUGGCCCACCCGAGAACCUGCAAGAAAUCUCGGGUGGCGUUCAAGCUGGACGCGUCUCAAAGCAUGGCACAGCUGUGGGCGGCUUCUGCAGCGACAGAGACGAUACGCGCAUAGGAGCACGUACCAUGAUCCGCUCUGCAUCUGAUGGGCUAGCUUAUUCUUCAGCUGAUGCUUCACACAACACUGCGUUCAUUGAUACUCACUACAACGCCAGGGACUGCGUCUUAGAUGUGGAGCUCGAGCAAGGAUCGAAAAGAAUCUGUCGAAAUGCGAGCCCGGAGCCAGAAGCUACUUACAAAAAGCCAGAGGAAACCAGUACUCGGUAUUCAGAGAACUGUGAACCAGUAAUUUAUUUGUGUCCACCUUCUGCAGCUUGCCAUGUGGCCGCAGUGCGCUCGAAAGCGUACGAUAAGAGUCUAUCGGUAAAGGAAAUUCUUGGGCCUCAUGGAUGUCAAGACGAGCCACAGCAUCAUACUGACAAAGAGCAUAGUGAGAACGCGACUAGCAGCAAUGAAGCAGAAAACGUGGUCCAUCGUUGUGAACCUCAAGAACAUUAUUUGUGCACUCUGCAACCUGUAUCUGAGUCUCUUCUUUGUACUAACAAAGAGCUUCGCCACAAAGCCCAAAGCGUUGCUGUCGAGGACCUGAGGCCUUCAAAACACAGGUCGCAUCGACGCUGCCAUAAACAUAAGCACAAACGGUCAUCCUGCUCGUCGUCAAACGACUCCAAACGUCAUCGGACGGACACCAAAAUAUUUGAUAAAAAAGUAAGAAAAGCGCAAAAAACGAAAGAUGGAGCCAUUUUAAAACCUCACGACAGCUUAAGCUCCAAUAUUGGCUGUGUUACGACCGAUUCAUCAAAUAGUCCCGAGUCCAGGGAUAGCCGUGCGAAUCAUAACGAAUGUUUUGGUGAAAAACUACCACAGGCCUCGGUGAUUCAUCUUGGACACGAGCGCGAUACCGACACUGGAGUUGAAUCUCUUCCUACUCUAAACGACAUCCUUCACCACGAGGAAGCCUGGAGUGCUGGUGUCAAGAACCCGAAGCCUUCAAAACUAGCGUCGCGUCGACACCUUCAUAAGCGUAAGUGCAAGGGGCUAUGCCGCUCCUCAUCGAAACACUCCAAAUGUCCUCAGACAGACACCGAGAUAGCUGAUAAAAAAGUGGAGAAGGCGCAAAAAAAUCAAGAUGGAGCCACUUUUAAACCCCAUGGGAGCCUAAGCCCCUAUAUUGGCCAUGUCGCGACCGAUUCAUCAAAUAUUCCUGAGCUGACAGGUAGCUGUGCAAAUUAUAAUCACUGUGUUGGUGAACCACUAUCGCAGGCCUCUGUGAAUUGCCUUGUACACGAGCGUAAAACCGACACUGAAGUCGAGUGUCUUCCUACUGAAAACGACAACCUUCACCAUGAGGAAGCCCAAAGUGUUGAUGUCGAUUGCCUGAGGCCUUCAAAACUUGGGUCAUGUCGACACUGCCACCAGCAUAAGCGCAAGCGAUCAUCCCACUCACGAUCGUCCCACAAUGAGACGUUUAGCAAGAAAGCAAGGAAAGCGGAAAAAAGGAGAGACAAUGCAGGAACAUUGAGCAGAUGCGCUCUCUCCAGCGAUGGCAUUGCGGUUGUUUCUAAGUCGCCAUGCAAUUCCGAAGCUACACUCGGUGACGGCAACGUAGUGGGCUUUGAAGAUGGCCAAGAAGAGCUCCUCCAAACAACUCCAUUUUCAGCGUCAAAACUCCACGGAUGUGAGAAGGUUGGCACCGACCACAGGCAGCGGACAUCCAUUCAAGGGCCGACAUUAGACGAACGUGCCACAUCUGAUUCUAAUGAUAAACGUUUACGUUGGCACAAGGGCGUGAAUGCACCAAGGUGCUACCGAACGGCAACGGAUUCAUGGAAAGACCGGGAUUCAGCGGCGAGCAGCAGCACCACGACUGGGGACAACGACUUCCUAUUUAAGAGGCCGUUCACACCGCCGAAGCGUCCAAAGAAGCUGCUCCCUCAGUACGCUAUUGAUGACCCAGAAGAAAUCAAGGACAAUGAAAGCCCGGAGUGGGAAACCGUUCGUCGACUUACUACUGACGAAGAACGAUACAAAGGCGUGCGGAAAGUUUGGCGCAACAGCGGAGUUCCGAAUCCGCAAGUAGAUCUGUCCGCAUUUAUUUAUGGUCGGAAACAGCCGGGCCUGAAGCCUUCAAACCUCGGGUCGGAUCGACAGAGCCACGAACGCGCAGGUUCAUCUAGUUCCUCAUCGAAAGACUCCAAACGUCUUCGGAUGGCCAUCGAGAUCUAUGACAAAAAAAUAAGAAAAGAGGUGAAAAAUAAAAAUAAAGCUCUUUCAGAAGCCCAUGAAAACCUAAGCCGUGGCAUGCUCCAGCUCUACGAUGCGAAGAGGGAGGCAGCGAAGUAUCAGCCUCUGAGAUUACAGAACUUUCAGGAGAAGAAAUGCCGGAGGACCCAGACGGUGCCGCGCGAUUGGCAGUACUGGCAGAUGCAAGAGCAGAUUAUCCACCACGACUUCCGCGCGAAAGAGGAGGAGAUCAUGAACGCGUUCAGUACCAAGUUAGUAAAGCUACGCGCCGCCAAGGAGGAAGUGGGUCGCGUCAACAGUUUCUACGCUGGCCUGCUCGACUCUGACCCGCGGUUGCUGUCACGCGCCCAGGUGAAGGAACACAGGAGGUUGGAGAAAACGCUCAAGCGUAUGGCGAAAUUGUACGGUGAAAGAUGAGCGACUAAUAAAUGCUGCCUAUAGUUUA